GGUUGCGUGGUGUAAUGGUAACAUGUGUCGGGGUAAAACACUCCCUUCCGCGGCAAGUACCAGGUUCGAGUCCUGGCCGACCU